rnacentral:rRNA from 1 species
UACGAAGGGGGCUAGCGUUGUUCGGAUUUACUGGGCGUAAAGCGCACGUAGGCGGAUCGUUAAGUCGGGGGUGAAAUCCUGGAGCUCAACUCCAGAACUGCCUUUGAUACUGGCGAUCUCGAGUCCGGAAGAGGUGAGUGGAACUCCUAGUGUAGAGGUGGAAUUCGUAGAUAUUAGGAAGAACACCAGUGGCGAAGGCGGCUCACUGGCCGGUACUGACGCUGAGGUGCGAAAGCGUGGGGAGCAACAGG